rnacentral:rRNA from 1 species
UACGUAGGGUGCGAGCGUUGUCCGGAAUUACUGGGCGUAAAGAGCUCGUAGGUGGUUUGUCGCGUUGUUCGUGAAAACCUGAGGCUUAACCUUGGGCGUGCGGGCGAUACGGGCAGACUGGAGUACUGCAGGGGAGACUGGAAUUCCUGGUGUAGCGGUGGAAUGCGCAGAUAUCAGGAGGAACACCGGUGGCGAAGGCGGGUCUCUGGGCAGUAACUGACGCUGAGGAGCGAAGGCGUGGGGAGCGAACAGG